CACGUAGGGCGCGAGCGUUGUCCGGAAUUAUUGGGCGUAAAGCGCGCGUAGGCGGUUACUUAAGUCGGAUGUGAAAGCCCUCGGCUUAACUGAGGAAGUGCACCCGAAACUGAGUAGCUAGAGUACGAAAGAGGGUCGCGGAAUUCCCGGUGUAGAGGUGAAAUUCGUAGAUAUCGGGAGGAACACCGGUGGCGAAGGCGACCAUCUGGACGGAUACUGACGCUGAGACGCGAAAGCGUGGGUAGCAAACAGG
rnacentral:rRNA from 1 species